GUGUCAGCAGCCGCGGUAAUACGUAGGUGGCAAGCGUUGUCCGGAAUUAUUGGGCGUAAAGAGCGUGUAGGCGGGAAGUUAAGUCUAUCUUAAAAGUGCGGGGCUCAACCCCGUGAGGGGAUAGAAACUGACUUUCUUGAGUGUCGGAGAGGAAAGUGGAAUUCCCAGUGUAGCGGUGAAAUGCGUAGAUAUUGGGAGGAACACCAGUGGCGAAGGCGACUUUCUGGACGAUAACUGACGCUGAGGCGCGAAAGCCAGGGGAGUGAACGGGAUUAGAUACCCCGGUAAUCCUGGCCGUAAACGAUGGGUACUAGGUGUAGAGGGUAUCGACCCCUUCUGUGCCGGAGUUAACGCAAUAAGUACCCCGCCUGGGGAGUACGGCCGCAAGGUUGAAACUCAAAGGAAUUGGCGG
rnacentral:rRNA from 1 species